CAGAGUAGUAAAUUAUUUGUUAGUUGACGAUGCAAUCAGCAUGCUGAUUAAGGUUGCUUGGUUUUUUACUAAACAUUAACUGAAUGAAAACGGGUAGUCCUUGUUCUGCUUGGGGGGCUUUAAGGAAGCAAAUGGACUUUCAGAACAGAGAUUGUCAAUAAAGGAGUAGGCUGACAUAUGGCCUCCGGAGUAUGGUUCCAGGAUUCAGUCACUAGGUGUUUUAGAUUUGAUUCCAUUGGAAAAAUACAGUGUGAUAAGUAACGUGCGUGAGAAGAUUAGUAUGUGCCCGACACAAGAGUUCGCUGAAUGAAUGAUCGGAAGAAAGGAGCUCCACCAAACUGAAGACCCUUUCUCAGGAGUAACUCUAAUACCAAGUUGAGUCAGACUCCUACCAAAGUUUACCACUUAUUGACUUGGAAUAGUUGCAUUUCAACAGAGAGAUGCUGGCUGACUGAAAGGACUAUCACAUGCUUCUUUUCUUGAGGAAUACCCAGCCUGAGCUUUGGAUGUGUCCUCUGAGGAAGUACCCAUGACACAGACCACACUGGACACCAACUCUGAUAUCAGGGAAAGGUUCCACAACAGUUGAGUGUGAACAUGGGAUCACUGAGCUCCUUGGCGCAGAGCUGCUAAUGUCCCCUCUUGAGCUGACGGAGGCUGGUGCUGCCUUGAAGCAUGCCAUGCCAAUUCACAGCAAGGUCUUUAUUGUUGAAACUCUUGCAUAAUGACAUCUUUAUUCAUGUGAAAAUACAGGAUGAAUUUCAACUAUAUGAUAUUGUUUAUGUUCAUCAGAAAUGUUAUUUGUCUUUACAAAGUCUGGUUUCAAUGAACCGGCUAUGUAAUGGAUAUUAAAUAAACAUGGAAUUUUACACAUUCAUAA